CCAAGCAGCCGCGGUAAAUUCCAGCUCCAAUAGCGUAUAUUAAAGUUGUUGCGGUAAAAAAGCUCGUAGUUGGAUUUCUGUUGAAGACGUCCGGUCCAUACCACGUAUGCGCAUCUGGCUCGGCUUCGGCAUCCUCUCGAAAGACGUUUCUGCGCUUGAUUGCGUGGAGCGGAUCUCGGGACUUUUACUUUGAGGAAAUUAGAGUGUUCACGGCAGGCUAUCGCCAGAAUACAUUAGCAUGGAAUAAUACUAUAGGAUCUCGGUUCUAUUUUGUUGGUUUCUAGAAUUGAGAUAAUGAUUAAUAGGGACAAUUGGGGGCAUUCGUAUCAACACGUUAGAGGUGAAAUUCUUGGAUCGUGUUGCGACGAACUACUGCGAAAGCAUUUGCCAAGGAUGUUUUCAUUGAUCAAGAACGAAAGUAAGGGGAUCGAAGACGAUUAGAUACCGUCGUAGUCUUUACCAUAAACUAUGCCAACUAGAGAUGGGACAUCGUUCACUUAAGACUUGUUCCGCACCUUAUGAGAUAUCAAAGUCUUUGGGUUCCGGGGGGAGUAUGGUCGCAAGUCUGAAACUUAAAGGAAUUGACGGAAGGGCACCACCAGGAGUGGAGCCUGCGGCUUAAUUUGACUCAACACGGGGAAACUCACCAGGUCCAGACAUAAUAAGGAUUGACAGAUUGAUAGCUCUUUCUUGAUUUUAUGGGUGGUGGUGCAUGGCCGUUCUUAGUUCGUGGAGUGAUUUGUCUGCUUAAUUGCGUUAACGAACGAGACCUUAACCUGCUAAAUAGGAGCGCCUAUCUCCGGAUAAGCGCCUUUCUUCUUAGAGGGACUUUAUGCGUUUCAGCAUGAGGAAGUUUGAGGCUAAAACAGGUCUGUGAUGCC
rnacentral:rRNA from 1 species